rnacentral:rRNA from 1 species
GGGUGAGUAAUGCAUGAGAACGUAUCCUCAAGAGGGGGACAACAUUGGGAAACCGAUGCUAAUACCCCAUAAGCCGGGAGGUAAAAGGAGCAAUCCGCUUGAGGAGCGGUUCAUGUCCUAUCAGCUAGUUGGUGAGGUAACGGCUCACCAAGGCGAAGACGGGUAGCCGGCCUGAGAGGGUGAACGGCCACACUGGAACUGAGAGACGGUCCAGACUCCUACGGGAGGCAGCAGUGGGGAAUAUUGGGCAAUGGGGGAAACCCUGACCCAGCGACGCCGCGUGAGGGAAGAAGGCCUUAGGGUCGUAAACCUCUGUUGUGUGGGAAGAAGAGCGUGACGGUACCACACGAGGAAGUCCCGGCUAACUACGUGCCAGCAGCCGCGGUAAUACGUAGGGGACGAGCGUUGUCCGGAUUUACUGGGCGUAAAGGGCGCGUAGGCGGUCAUUUAAGUCAGCUGUGAAAUGGUUUGGCUUAACCGGAUCAUGCGGUUGAAACUGGAUGACUGGAGUGCUGGAGAGGCAAGUGGAAUUCCCAGUGUAGCGGUGAAAUGCGUAGAUAUUGGGAAGAACACCGGUGGCGAAGGCGACUUGCUGGCCAGCAACUGACGCUGAGGCGCGAAAGCCAGGGGAGCAAACGGGAUUAGAUACCCCGGUAGUCCUGGCCGUAAACGAUGAAUGCUAGGUGUGGGCAUCGAGAGGUGUCCGUGCCGGAGCUAACGCGAUAAGCAUUCCGCCUGGGGAGUACGAUCGCAAGAUUGAAACUCAAAGGAAUUGACGGGGGCCCGCACAAGCGGUGGAGCACGUGGUUUAAUUCGAUGCAAACCGAAGAA